AUUGAACGCUGGCGGCAUGCCUUACACAUGCAAGUCGAACGGUAGAGGGGGCAACCCCUUGAGAGUGGCGAACGGGUGAGUAAUGCAUCGGAACGUGCCCAGUAGUGGGAGAUAGCCCGGCGAAAGCCGGAUUAAUACCGCAUACGACCUACGGGUGAAAGCGGGGGACCUUCGGGCCUCGCGCUAUUGGAGCGGCCGAUGUCAGAUUAGCUAGUUGGUGGGGUAAAGGCCCACCAAGGCGACGAUCUGUAGCUGGUCUGAGAGGACGACCAGCCACACUGGGACUGAGACACGGCCCAGACUCCUACGGGAGGCAGCAGUGGGGAAUUUUGGACAAUGGACGAAAGUCUGAUCCAGCCAUGCCGCGUGCGGGAAGAAGGCCUUCGGGUUGUAAACCGCUUUUGUCAGGGAAGAAAUCUUCUGGGCGAAUAACCUGGGAGGAUGACGGUACCUGAAGAAUAAGCACCGGCUAACUACGUGCCAGCCGCCGCAGUAACAC
rnacentral:rRNA from 1 species